rnacentral:tRNA from 2 species
GCCGCCUUAGCUCAGUGGUAGAGCAGUUGCUUUGUAAGCAUCAGGUCGUCGGUCCGAAUCCGACAGGCGGCU